GCAGGUUAAAGCUACAUAGUUAGGAAAGAGCACCUGCACCUGGCUCUCUCCAUUAGUGGAUAUACGGUACCUGGUACUGAACUGGGUAACCAUUACCAUAAUAAGGUGUGUGGGCAGGUUGGAUCGUGUAAGGUGCUGAGCUCAUCAUUGGAGGAUGAUGGGCCUCCGCACCAUACACAAACUGCCUCUCGUAAGGGUAGGAGGGAAGCCUCUCUGGGGUUGCAGGAUAAAAGCUCUUGUCAGCAAAGCCGGUAGCACGGGGUGCAAAGGCUGAUCCAUUUGCACGAGGCCUCUUGGACUGUGGCUUUGCUGCUUCAACAGCCCUCCUCUUGUCUGCCUUUGCUU
rnacentral:lncRNA from 1 species